rnacentral:rRNA from 1 species
AGGAGAGUUUGAUCCUGGCUCAGGAUGAACGCUAGCGGCAGGCUUAACACAUGCAAGUCGAGGGGCAGCGCGGAGUAGCAAUACUCUGGCGGCGACCGGCGGAAGGGUGCGUAACACGUGAGCAACUUGCCCGUGACAGGGGGAUAAGCGAUGGAAACGUCGUCUAACAUCCCGUAACACGAGGGGAGGCAUCUCCCUUCGUUGAAAACUCCGGUGGUCACGGAUGGGCUCGCGGGACAUUAGCUAGUUGGCGGGGCAACGGCCCACCAAGGCGACGAUGUCUAGGGGUUCUGAGAGGAAGAUCCCCCACACUGGAACUGAGACACGGUCCAGACUCCUACGGGAGGCAGCAGUGAGGAAUAUUGGACAAUGGAGGCAACUCUGAUCCAGCCAUGCCGCGUGAAGGACGAAGGCCCUAUGGGUCGUAAACUUCUUUUGUCAGGGAGCAAUAAGGGCCACGCGUGGUCCGACGAGAGUACCUGGCGAAUAAGCAUCGGCUAACUCCGUGCCAGCAGCCGCGGUAAUACGGAGGAUGCGAGCGUUAUCCGGAUUUAUUGGGUUUAAAGGGUGCGUAGGCGGACGAUUAAGUCAGCUGUGAAAUGCCCGCGCUUAACGCGGGAAGUGCAGUUGAUACUGGUUGUCUGGAGUGCCGUUGCCGUGGGGGGAAUGUGUAGUGUAGCGGUGAAAUGCAUAGAUAUUACACAGAACGCCGAUUGUGAAGACACCUCACGAAGCGGUAACUGACGCUGAGGCACGAAAGCGUGGGGAUCGAACAGGAUUAGAUACCCUGGUAGUCCCU